ensembl:lncRNA
AUUCAUAACUCUGUGUUUCAAUGGAGUUAACACCAGGAAGCCUUCUCUGACCUCCCCUUGCCUUCCACUCAACCACUGCCCUGGAUGGAUGAGAAAAGUGAGUCUCAGAGAGGCUGCCACUUGCCUGAAGUCAUUCAGCCAGGGAGUAACUUGUUUGCCACUGGAAAUAAGUCAUCUGACUCCAGAGCCCUCCUGUAUGACCUUCUGGUAUUUACUUUCUCAUUCUAGUCAGGCAUUCCUGAGAUCCUGAUAAGGAAUACAGAACUAAUAAGCCACCACCAACCGGAAGAGUUCGGGAAAGGUCUAAAGGAGACACCACGUGUCCGUCCACUUCCCAGAAUCCCUCUCGCUGGCAUCCAUCUUGGCUGAGUGAUGCAUGCACCACCAGGAAAGACUCUGAAUUAGAAUGAUUGGUCAAAGACCACCCAGAAACUAAUCCCAUCACCCUAAAACCCGACAUUGUGAGCCACGCGGCAGAGCAGUUCUCCUGGGUUCCCUGACCCUACUGCUCUCCAGGUGCCCUUUCCCAAUAAAAUCUCUUGCUU